rnacentral:rRNA from 1 species
GCCGGGGUUUCUUUACCAGGUACUGUCAUUAUCAUCCCUGGCGAAAGAGCUUUACGACCCUAAGGCCUUCAUCACUCACGCGGCAUCGCUAGAUCAGGCUUGCGCCCAUUGUCUAAGAUUCCCC